rnacentral:rRNA from 1 species
CAAUAGCGUAUAUUUAAGUUGCUGCAGUUAAAAAGCUCGUAGUUGGAUUUCGGGUGGGAAUGGCCGGUCCGCCGUUUCGGUGUGCACUUGCUACGCCCACCUUGCUGCCGGGGACGUGCUCUUGAGUUCACGCUCGGGUCACGGAGUCGGCGAGGUUACUUUGAGUAAAUUAGAGUGUUCAAAGCAGGCCUACGCUCUGAAUACAUUAGCAUGGAAUAACACGAUAGGACUCUGGCCUAUCUUGUUGGUCUGUAGGACCGGAGUAAUGAUUAAGAGGGACAGUCGGGGGCAUUCGUAUUUCAUUGUCAGAGGUGAAAUUCUUGGAUUUAUGAAAGACGAACUACUGCGAAAGCAUUUGCCAAGGAUGUUUUCAUUAA